GACUCAAUGGACAUGAAUCUGAGCAAACUCCGGAAGACAGUGAAAGUCUGGAAAACCUGGCGUGUUGCAGUCCACGGGGUCGUUAAGAGUCAAACAUGACUUAGCGACUGAACAACAACAGAUCAGCUUCCCAGUCUACACGGCAUGUAGACUUUGGCUAGUCCAGAGUUCCCAAGGUUAGCUCUGGUUUUUAUAUCUGAAACAUAAUUUCCCAUAUUUCCCUGAAGUUACCAUUAACAACGAGGUGGAGAGUCCACUGUCAAUUUAUCAUGACCUAUUUUUCCCUUCCAAAGUCAUUUCUAGGACUAUAGGUAAGCACUGUAAAGGUAAGGACUAUAUUCUAUAAUUCCCACCAUCCUCUCCUUGGCCCGGUUCUGAGUUAGGACUUGCCAAUGAGAAGCAUUUUCAUGAGAUUUGUAUGAAGUGAUUAUUUUUCCAGAGGCAGUUUCUUUCAGAUGUGUGGACAAACAUGAGACCCACAGUCUUCCUAGGGAACCCAAGAACCACCAGCCUCACCACUGAAACCUGAGCAGGUUGUUGGGACCUUCCUGGAGAUGCUCAAGAAUUCCAGAAGCUUUCAGAUGAGAACUUAACCAUCUACUUGAGAACUCCUUUGGAACCCUUAUUGCUGCCUACUGAUAAGGUCCUUAGCAUGUAACACAUGACUCAUCUUCCCAUACUUUCCUGGCUUCCCAAUGGCUCAUCAGAUAAAGAGUCCACCUGAAACACAGGAGAAACAGGAGAUGUGGAUUUGGUCCCUGGGUCAGGAAGAUCCCUUGGAGAAGAGAAAUGACAACCCACUCCAGGACGCUUGCCUGAAAACUCCCAUGGACAAGGAGACUGGUGGGCUACAGUCCAUGGGGUCACAAAGAUAUUAUAUUAUAUAUUUGAAUGUUGCUAAGAGGCUGAAUCUUAAAUGCUUUUACUGUACACACACAAAAAGAUAACUGCAAGGUG